GAUGAAGAACGCAGCGAAAUGCGAUAAGUAAUGUGAAUUGCAGAAUUUAGUGAAUCAUCGAAUCUUUGAACGCACAUUGCGCCCGCCAGUAUUCUGGCGGGCAUGCCUGUUCGAGCGUCAUUUCAACCAUCAAGCCCCCGGGCUUGUGUUGGGGACCUGCGGCUGCCGCAGGCCCUGAAAAGCAGUGGCGGGCUCGCUGUCACACCGAGCGUAGUAGAUUUUAUCUCGCUCUGGGCGUGCUGCGGGUUCCGGCCGUUAAACCACCCUUUUAACCCAAGGUUGACCUCGGAUCAGGUAGGAAGACCCGCUGAACUUAAGCAUAUCAAUAAGCGGAGGA
rnacentral:misc_RNA from 1 species